CCUACGGGUGGCAGCAGUGAGGAAUAUUGGUCAAUGGACGAGAGUCUGAACCAGCCAAGUAGCGUGAAGGAUGACUGCCCUAUGGGUUGUAAACUUCUUUUAUAUGGGAAUAAAAUGUUCCACGUGUGGGAUUUUGUAUGUACCAUAUGAAUACGGAUCGGCUAACUCCGUGCCAGCCGCCGCGGUAAUACGGAGGAUCCGAGCGUUAUCCGGAUUUAUUGGGUUUAAAGUGAGCGUAGGUGGGUUGUUAAGUCAGUUGUGAAAGUUUGCGGCUCAACCGUAAGAUUGCAGUUGAAACUGGCAGUCUUGAGUACAGUAGAGGUGGGCGGAAUUCGUGGUGUAGCGGUGAAAUGCUUAGAUAUCACGAAGAACUCCGAGUGCGAAGGCAGUUCACUGGACUGCAACUGACACUGAGGCACGAAAGUGUGGGUAUCAAACAGGAUUAGAUACCCGUGUAGUC
rnacentral:rRNA from 1 species